GCGGUAUUGAUUUUUAAACCUAGAUGACGUUAUGUUCGCUUAAUGUAAUUGUUGAUACAAAAACCACAGAUGGGAAACUGAUAGCAGAACAAGAUGUCGAUCUUAAGUAAUAAGUCGAAUCUACUCGGUACAAAGCAAUCCUGUGGCGACCAACCACUGGCAGCGAGCAGCCAAAUUAUCUGCAAAAGUAACAGUUUAAGAAUGAAUUACCAAGCCGACGAAGCAACUCCGGAAAGACUAAUAAAAGAUGCCUAUUGACAAUGCUGUCGUAUCGAUCAGAUUUUUGUAAAAUUAACCAUUGAAAUUUAAGUCUUCGAGUCAUUGUUCACAAAUCGUUGCAUGGGUUUAUACCGGUUAUGUCUAUUAUGUACAGUGCAUGUAGAUAGACGGCCCUGAUGAAUUUUACACAGAACAUUAGCCUACGGGAAGGAUGUUGAAUGUAACUUUUGUUUACAGACGUGGAUUUGUAUUGAUUAAGGUGAUAAGUCUUUGAAAUAUGUUUAUUAUGUGUCUUGUUUCCCGAUGAAACUGAAAGGUAAUUGUUUUUUUAAUCAAUGUGUGUUUUGUUAAUCAGCAGAAAAACCCUUGGUGAAUAUACACGUGUGUGCGUAUUGCUCGGAAACGGUUUAAUUAAAAUGUAAAAAUAUUAUAGAUGGUAGUGACAAUGACGAAUAAUACAACAUCAGGACAAUUAAUUUUAACAGCUUUAAGACCAAAUUGUGAAACUAUUCCAGCAAUAUUAACUGGAGAUAAUACAAAUUCUACGUCUUCUGAA